rnacentral:rRNA from 1 species
GACGAACCGUGCAAACGUUGUUCGGAAUCACUGGGCUUAAAGGGCGCGUAGGCGGGCUCGCCAGUCUGUGGUGAAAGCCCCCGGCUUAACCGGGGAAGUGCCGUGGAUACUGCGAUCCUCGAGGAGGGUAGGGGCAUCUGGAACAGCCGGUGGAGCGGUGAAAUGCGUUGAUAUCGGCUGGAACUCCGGUGGCGAAGGCGAGGUGCUGGACCCUUUCUGACGCUGAGGCGCGAAAGCCAGGGGAGCAAACGGG